rnacentral:lncRNA from 1 species
CUGAGGACUUACCUUUCGAAGGUAUUUGAUACUUCUGUUAAACUUCGGCACAUUGAUGGCUCAUCCGUAUGUUCCACGAUAGCAUCAACCAUAUGUGGAUUCUAUAAAAACCUGUAAAGGACUUUUAAAUAAUUUUAAAUCUUGAUCUUUCUCUUAAGUUUAUUCUAUCCAAACAACAUAAAAAUUGUGGCAUAAGCUGUAUAUUUAUAACUUUGUGAUACCAUACGGC